AUUCUAUUUCUAACUUUUUACGAUCGCUAUAAGUCAUUUUUAAUCAAUUUUUGUCAUCUUAUUAAUUCUCAAUUUUUUUGUCCUUUUAAACGAUUCUUUUUUUCUUAAAAAAUUUAUUGUAUUUUUUAUCAUUCUUUUUCUCCUUAUAUUUUUAUCUUCUUUUUUUACCUAUUAAUGUUUGUAUAUAAUUAUCUAUAAUAUAUAUAAAAGCCUUGUCACAAAAAUACCGUUACGCUAACACUGUCACACUUUCAAUCUAUAUAUAUUUAAAAAAUCGUUAAUUUUGAAAAGUGCCUGUGGCCCAAUCGGCAAGAACGUCGCUUGGACGUUUGGACUUAGGUUCGAAUCCCGGCAAAGAUUCCUGCACAAGAUACCAUUCAACAAAAGAUACUGAAAAUCAACAAUCAAAUUGUGGUACUGAAAAUCAGGAGCAAUGUAUUAUUGUUUCAAGAUCCUUAACACAUAAGGAGAAAGCCAGACGGAGACAGGAACUUUGUCGAAGCAAGAAAAGACAAGAGCAAAGUCUUAUUGCAUCAAUAUCAAAGUGUAGUAGUACUGAAAAUCAAGAUCAAUGUAAGACGAGAGAAUUGGCGUCAAUGUUGAACGAGAGAAAAGUUGAUAUAGCGUGCAUACAAGAGACGAAAUGGAAAGGUCAGAAGACUUUAAUGAUUGGAGAUGGGUAUAAAUUGUACUAUAAUGGAAUUUAGCAAUAGGAACGGUGUCAGCAUCAUCCUCAGUCAAGAUCUAACCUCCUCAGUAGUAGAAGUCAACAAGAUCUCUGAUAGACUAAUGAAGAUAAAACUCUGCAUUGGUCAAUCAAUACUACACAUCCUUUCAAUAUAUGCUCCUUAAAUGGGUUGCAAGGAAGAAGAGAAAGAUGACUUUAGAGCUAUCCUUGAUGAAGCUGUAAUGGAAAUCCCUAAUGAUGACUUAGUCAUAAUUGGUGGUGACUUAAAUGCGCAUGUAAGGAAAGCAAGAGAUAACUACAAAAGGCACCAUUGUGGUUUUGGAUAUGGAGAAAGAAAUGAUGAAGGAGAACAUGUACUGAAAUUUGCGCUACCUUCGACCUUGCCUUAACCAACACCUACUAUAGGGGAAAAGACAGUCAUUUAAUAACAUAUGAAAGUGGUACAAGGAAAACCCAGAUAGAUUACUGCUUAUCUCUCGCAAAAGAUUACAAGAUGUAAUAGACUGCAGAGUCAUCCCAGGAGAAAAUAUUGCAGCGCAACACAAGUUACUAGUCAUGGAUUUACACCUCACAAAUAUAUCCACUCAAAACAAGAUAAAACUGGAACAUCAAAUGGGGUAAAUUAAAAACAAUGACAGAUGCCUUUGCAAUCAAUGCAAACAUUGAAACAAUAGAUUCCUCAGAUGUCAGUGAAAAAAAGUGGACAGACCUUUCAUCCAGAUUAAUAAACACUGCCAAAUCGACACUAGGCUUGACAAGGGGAGGCAACAAAUCAUACAAAGAACUAUGGUGGUGGAAUGAAGAGGUACAAACCCCUAUACAGGAGAAAAAAGCCCUAUAUAAAAUAUGGUACAAAUCCAAAAACCCAGAUGACAAGACAAAUUACAAAAAAUGUAAGAGAAUAGCUACAAAGGCGGUAGCUAGGACCAAAGCUAUGGCAUACGAGUAUGGAAAACUACAUACCAAAGAAGGGCAAAAUAAAAUAUACAGAUUAGCCAAACAUCGAGAAAAGAAUUCUAGGGAUAUAAACAGAGCUCCAAAAGUAAUCAAAAACAAAGAUGGGAAAUUGAUAAUAAAGGAAAAAGAAAUAAUGAAUAGAUGGAAAGAAUAUUUUCAGGAGCUUCUCAACUUUAAUCCCAACAUACUAUAUCUAGACGAACACUCCCAUGUCAAAACUUUAUACAACCAAUAACAGAAUAAGAAAUAAUCACAUGCCUCAAGCAUAUGAAAAACAACAAAGCUAGGGGUCCAGAUGAUAUUCCAUUCCAAUAGAAAGCCUUAAAACACUAAGAGAUGAUGGAAUACAUCUCCUCACAAAUCUGAUAGUAAAAUAAUGGGAAAUGAAGAAAUCCCUCAAAAAUGGAGGCAGAGCUAUCUAGUUCCUAUCUUCAAAAAUAAAGAAGAUCCACACAAUUGUCAAAAUUACAGGGGCAUAAAACUAAUGUCACACUGUCUUAAACUCUACGAAAAAAAGGUUAAGAGACAUAAUCGAAAUAGGAGAAACUCAGUUUGGCUUUAUGCCUGGAAGAUCAACAGCUGAUACAAUCCACGCAUUAGGCAAAUGAGUGAAAAAUACAGGGAAAAGAAAAAAAAGCUACACAUGGUCUUUCUCAAUCUAGAAAAGGCCUUCAAUAGAAUCCCAAGAAAACUUAUAUGAUGGGCGCUACGCCAGAAAAAGGUUCCUGAAAAAUAUAUAAGAAUAAUACAGGAUAUGUAUAUGGGCCAUAUAACAAUGGUUCGUAGCACAACAGGUACUUCAGCAGGCGUCAGAAUAGCCGAGGGAGUUCAUCGAAGGUCGGCUCUCAUCCCACUUCUCUUCAUUACAGUAAUAGAUGUAUUAUCACAGUCUAUACCUCAAACAGUCCUGUGGAAUAUAUAUUUGCAGAUGAUAUUGUGAUACUUGCCGAAUCCAAAAUGAAAGAAAGAUUAGUGAGUUGGAUAAAUAUCCUAGAAAAGAAUGGAUUAAAAGUAAAUAGAGAAAAGACGGAGUAUAUAGUGAUAGGAGGAGAAAAGACGGAGUAUAUGGUGAUAGGAGGAGAUAAAACAGAGAGCAUUAAUAUAAAUGAAUAGCAGAUAUUGGCAAUUGAAAGCUGCAAAUAUUUGGGCUCCACUAUACAAACAAAUGGCACAAUAGAGAAAGAGAUAAAGAGUAAAAUUAAUCAAGGGUGGUUAAA